CCAUUGGUUUUGAUCUAGACCAUUCAUUCUUUUGUGCUCAUUCCCUUCGAUCAUUUCUGUCGCAGACUCUUGGUAUCUACGGUUUCUGUUGUUGUAGCUUCCACUAUGAGCCGUUUUGUGCUCUGUACUCUCUUAACGUUUCAGAUGCUUCACCUUUGUUGCUGAGCGCCUUUUUAUUCCCUGUCUCCCCCUGAGCAGUCUCGCUCACAGACUCCGCCAUGCGCCGUUCUUCUGCUCCGCUUCUCAAUUAUUUCCUUAUAAAAUAUGAUUUGUGCCCGAGAGAGAUAAUCUUGCAGGAUCUGAAAUGAAAUACUGAGAAAAAUCGAUGGCCAAAUAUGAUCGAGCUCAAAUUGCAGAAAUAAGGCGUAUAAUGAAGGGGCCAAUUGCAAACCGCAAAACAGAUUUUCUCAUUCCGUUGUUCAUGUUUAGUGAGAAAAAGGGUUCAUUUUGGUGUUAGUUGAUUAAAUACCAGAUUUUGGUGUUAGUUUAUAUACUUGAUUCAAGUAUUAAGAUUUAAGACUUUAAUAUCUUUGGGUCAUGGAGCUUACUGUGUUCUUCUUAAAAUUUGUAACUUAAGGAACAAUGAGAUGGAUUCUUCAGGUAUUUCUAAUUCUGCACUUAUGUUCUUUUUCUGAUAUAUGUCAGUGAUUUAUCAUAUUCUUCUUCAUUCUCUUUAGUUUCUAUUAAAUUUUUAAGGAAAAGUUUAGAAUCAAGUUGAUUUGAUUGUUGAUGUGGUUAGGCAAAAGUUUAGGGGCUAUAUAUAUACUGAUUUUCUCUCUUUGUAGAAGAGGGGAUAUGGAAGCCUAUCAUCUCAGCAAUGGUGGUGAAUUUGGAGAAAAAGGUUUAUCCUUUGAAAAAGGUUGCUUAUGAGUGUCCAUGAUUAGAGGAAACACUACACAUGACUAUGAUGAUCUUGGUCACAGUGACCCUGAAAUAUAAAGAUGAUUUUAUCAAUUACACAUGACUAUGUGGGCAUAACGUUUCUGUCAGGAGAUGGAUUGGCUAAAAUCAUUGUUUCAAGUUAUCUGAAAGAUUAGCUGGAUCUCAUAGCGGGUUGUUGAUUGGGGGCUUUUCCCUUUUGAUGUUGGAAUAUGGUGUGGUAUACUGGUAUUAUUCCAAUAAGUUUGAACUUCUCUGGCUGUAACUAUUUUGCAGUACUUUGUGGUGGUAUGUGUCAACAAUUUGUCUUGAAAGUAUGGCUGUCUGGAUUAUUUGAAUUAUUUGGUUUACUCAUGGUCAUAUUUGGUGUAAUCAUUGUCAUGGAGGUAUACACACUAGACAAGGAUUUGGAGUUUUGAUUCACAAUGACAUCUUCGAAAUGCAUAGGUUUUUGUUAUUGUAAGUUGUUUUUUUGGAGGAUUUAGAAUUGAGAAAUAUAAGUUCUUAUCUUUCAUGCCCCUUUUUCUUGAAAGGAACUAUUGGCAUGAGUCUUCUUACUACCCUUCAAAAUGCACAUGUUUUUGUAAUUUUAAGUUGUUUUUUGGGGGAUUUAGAAUUGAGAAAUUUAGGUUCUUAUCUUUCAUGCCCCUUUUUCUUCUUAGGAACUAUUGGCAUGAAUUUUCUUACUACCCUUUGAAAUGCGUAGAGUUUUGUUAUUUUAAGUUGUUUUUUGGGGGAUUUAGAAUUGAGAAAUUUAAGUUCUUAUCUUUCAUGCCCCUGUAUCUUGAGAGAAACUAUUGGCACGAAUCUUCUUACUACUGGGGAUGUUGAAACAACAAGUGGAAGCAUUAGAUGAGAAAGUCUACGACAAGCAACCUGCAACAUAAUCAUGGAGAAUAUGCAAUUUGGGGGACCAUUCAAUCAGUUAUUGGAGGGUGGGAGAUCAGGCCCUUAUUGCUUUCGAGGGUUGUUAACUUCAAUAUUUGAACGUUUGUGGUUGUCACCAAAGUAAUAGCCAUUACAUGGAGGUGCCCUCAACUUUGUUAUGUAAUUGUGUUUUCCUGUCUCUUUUUAUACCUGAGAAUAUGAGUUGAAAUGAAGAGAACUUGCUCCACUUCAAGUUUGAAUUGGGUAUGGGUGGAUUGAAGAGCUUGAAAAAGCAGAUCGGAUGUACUAAGGACAUGAUGGGAAUGUUUGGUGGCGGCUUAUGAGAUAUGGGUUGUUUUCAAUCACUAAUGUGUCCACAUUUGAUUUGGAUAUUUUCCAAUUUAUAGAAAACUCAAGGAAUGAAAUUGUCUGUUUUAAUUUUACAUUUUUUACAUUGAUAGUUUUUUCUAUAAAAUUAAAAUCCUCUUUUUUUCC